rnacentral:rRNA from 1 species
GAUGAACGCUGGCGGCGUGCCUAAUACAUGCAAGUCGAGCGAACGGACGAGAAGCUUGCUUCUCUGAUGUUAGCGGCGGACGGGUGAGUAACACGUGGAUAACCUACCUAUAAGACUGGGAUAACUUCGGGAAACCGGAGCUAAUACCGGAUAAUAUUUUGAACCGCAUGGUUCAAAAGUGAAAGACGGUCUUGAUGUCACUUAUAGAUGGAUCCGCGCUGCAUUAGCUAGUUGGUAAGGUAACGGCUUACCAAGGCAACGAUGCAUAGCCGACCUGAGAGGGUGAUCGGCCACACUGGAACUGAGACACGGUCCAGACUCCUACGGGAGGCAGCAGUAGGGAAUCUUGCGCAAUGGGCGAAAGCCUGACGGAGCAACGCCGCGUGAGUGAUGAAGGUCUUCGGAUCGUAAAACUCUGUUAUUAGGGAAGAACAUAUGUGUAAGUAACUGUGCACAUAUUGACGGUACCUAAUCAGAAAGCCACGGCUAACUACGUG